rnacentral:rRNA from 1 species
AUUGAACGCUGGCGGCAGGCCUAACACAUGCAAGUCGAGCGAGCGGCGGACGGGUGAUUACUGUCCGGGUACCUGCUUGAUGGAGAGGGCUAACUACUGGCAACGGUAGCUACUACUGCAUCCCAUCAGACGUACCUCGGUGGGAUUAGCUAGUAGGUGGGGUAACGGCCCACCUAGGCGACGAUCCCUAGCUGGUCUGAGAGGAUGACCAGCCACACUGGAACUGAGAAACGGUCCAGACGCCUGCGGGAGGCAGCAGUGGGGAAUAUUGCACAAUGGGCGGAAGCCUGAUGCAGCCAUGCCGCGGGUGUGAAGAAGGCCUUCGGGUUGUAAAGCACUUUCAGCGGGGAGGCGUUACCCGCAGAAUAAGCACCGGCUAACUCCGUGCCAGCAGCCGCGGUAAUAC